rfam:Anolis carolinensis unplaced genomic scaffold chrTn0087, whole genome shotgun sequence.
CCAACGGCUCUUUUCAGAGCCACCCACACGCUCCACCCGAAAGAG